rnacentral:rRNA from 1 species
UACGUAGGGGGCAGGCGUUGUCCGGAUUCAUUGGGCGUAAAGAGCGUGUAGGCGGCCAGGUAGGUCGGUUGUGAAAACUGGAGGCUCAACCUUCAGAGGUCGACCGAAACCAUCUGGCUAGAGUCCGGGAGAGGAGAGUGGAAUUCCUGGUGUAGCGGUGAAAUGCGCAGAUAUCGGGAGGAACACCAGUGGCGAAGGCGACUUCCUGGCCUGUUCUUGACGCUGAGGCGCGAAAGCUAGGGUAGCAAACGGG